AUUGAACGCUGGCGGCAGGCUUAACACAUGCAAGUCGAGCGGGGGAAGGUAGCUUGCUACCGGACCUAGCGGCGGACGGGUGAGUAAUGCUUAGGAAUCUGCCUAUUAGUGGGGGACAACAUCUCGAAGGGGAUGCUAAUACCGCAUACGUCCUACGGGAGAAAGCAGGGGAUCUUCGGACCUUGCGCUAAUAGAUGAGCCUAAGUCGGAUUAGCUAGUUGGUGGGGUAAAGGCCUACCAAGGCGACGAUCUGUAGCGGGUCGGAGAGGAUGAUCCGCCACACUGGGACUGAGACACGGCCCAGACUCCUACGGGAGGCAGCAGUGGGGAAUAUUGGACAAUGGGGGGAACCCUGAUCCAGCCAUGCCGCGUGUGUGAAGAAGGCCUUAUGGUUGUAAAGCACUUUAAGCGAGGAGGAGGCUACUCUAGUUAAUACCUAGGGAUAGUGGACGUUACUCGCAGAAUAAGCACCGGCUAACUCUGUGCCAGCAGCCGCCGUAA
rnacentral:rRNA from 1 species